GUUUGAGAUAUAUCAAUAAGGCUUGUGAAUCAUUAAGUAAAAUUAAUCAACUUUACUACAUUAAGGAAUAGGGAUGUUAUACUAUUAAAAAGAAAUAGAAACAUCAUGUACAGUUUUGAAGGAGAUUAUAGACGUAAACCUCAACAAAAUUUAGCAGGUGCAAGUAGAAGAGAUGGAAAGUCAGUUCUAUUGCAGCAUGUACAAUUAGAACGUUUAAAACGAAAACAACAGCGGAAAAGACAUAAUGCAGUACUGAAAAUACAAGCACUUACGCGUGGUUUCAUAGUGAGAAAGCAUAUGAAAAUGACUAAAAGGAAAGAAUUUGAUGAAGAACAACAAAUAAGUGGCCGUAGAAAUCUAAAUCUAGAUGAGUUAACAAUAUAUUUUCAAAAAUUAUUGUUUUUCUACAAUCACACUUUGGAUGCUAGCAGACUAGUUUGGAUACUACAACAUUUUCUAAAACAUCAAGAAGAAAUUAAACAGAAAUGUGUAAACUGUCCAGAAUGGCUAUGGAGGUUAAGAUGGAUUCUUCGUAUGUGUAUGCAACACAACUCAGAAGCUUUAAUGAAUGGAGCUUAUUCAUUGGCUAUACCAUUGAGAACAUUAGAAACAUUUACAAGUCGAGAAGAUGCAGAGAAAAUUUUACAUGAGAAUAGCUAUAAAUAUUUAGGAAACACCUUUAUUUAUUUGAUAAAACACAAGUAUUUUGAUCAGUUAAGGAAAUUAAUAGAUAAUAAAGUUCCAUCUAUGUUGGAACCUACUUCUGUUGCACCAACUCCAAUUUCAAAAUGUUUAGUGGAUAUGAUUAAACGACCCUUAGAUUUAAUUUCAUUUCUAGAACAGGAAGAUAGUUUUUCUAUGCUUGUUUUACAAGAACUUUGUAGAAGUAUAUUAUCUCCAAAAAUGUCUGAUCCAAUAAGAAUGUUUAUCAUUCCAUCAUUGUCAGAAUUUAUAGAAUUUCCAUAUACUCAAUUAAUUAAAUGUAUCAAUAGAAUUGAAAUAGAACCAACAAUGAGUUUACUUUAUUCCAUUUUAUCUCUGGAAUCAAAUCGAUUUUCUACAUAUGAAUCUAAAGAUGUCCUUAUUAAUUAUUUACAAGUUCUGGCAUCUAUGAGUUCAACUAUAAUAUCGUCGGUUGCUGAAGAAGACAUAGAACUAGCGAACGAUUCGGACUCAGAUUCAUCUAAUGUAACUAUGAUAGACCAAGAACAAGCCGAUAUUUUGCAUGAAUGUAUAGAAAUGUUGAAUGAACAGCAACGUGUUCAAGGAAUACUCCAAGCGGUAGAUAAAAGCAAAGAUCCAGCUAUAUUGCAACCAUUAUGCCAACUUUGUCAUCAUUUAUUGAUCACUGACAAAUUAGCCAUUCAUAAAUAUAAAUUGUUAUAUAUGCUUGCUUUUAAGCCAUUAUUUUUAAAGAAUUUAUGGACUGCUUUGUUAUCGGCUUGCCAAAUGUCACUAUUCGGUGGAGCGACUCCCCUCUUGCAAAUCAUAUCUCGGGGAAUUGGUCUUUCUACUGAAGAUGCGAAAAAAAUAGUUCCACUGCUAGCCGUAUUUUGUUCGUUAUUUAGUUUACUUAUUGCAACGUUACACGACACAGAAUUUUUUAUCCAAGAACAAUCAUUAGAUCCUAGCGGGCAACAAGCAAUGCCGUUUACAACUUCAGAAUUGGUAUUGUUGUCAAGCCACUUAAAGGGCGUUUGCUUAGGUUUAGUUGAACUUGCAUUUCCCGAUAAUCGGCCGACCGUACGAGAUGACUAUAAUAGAGCUGUUCUUGGACCCUCGUGCUCAACUCUACAAAAACAACAAAACACGCAAAUGUGGACACAUUUGCUUAAAGUAACAGUCAAUUUAUUACGUCAAUUGCAUAUGCGAGAUUUGAGACGACAGUUUUGCCCAGAAGGACAUUGGAUCGCUUCAAACAUUGUAAUAACAAUUGAUAAACCUCAAGAUUUCACAUUUCGUAGACGUAGACUGAGGCCAUAUAUCCCCUUUCAAGGACUACGAAUGUUUACCCGAGGAGAACUAGAGGAAGGGCCGCUGCUUUCUGCAAAAGAAGUUCGGACAUUGACGCUCCUUCGCGAAAUACCAUUUGUCGUACCGUUUAAUAAUCGAGUAAUGGCGUUUCAAUCAUUGAUUUAUCGGGAUAAAACAGAACAACAAGGUGAACUAACGCACUUCAUGCAAGGACCAUCGAUAAAAAUAUCGGUAAGAAGAAACUAUCUUUACGAGGAUGCGUUUGAAAAACUAUCACCGGAAAACGAGCCAGAAUUGCGAUUAAAAAUGCGCGUACAAUUUUUCAAUACAGCUGGUUUAGAAGAAGCUGGUGUAGACGGUGGUGGUCUGUUUAGAGAAUUUUUAUCGGAAUUAUUAAAAACAAGCUUCGACCCUAACAGAGGCUUUUUCAGGCUCACCAAGGAUAAUAUGUUAUAUCCAAAUCCUACAGUACAAUUAUUGGUUGAUGAUUUCCCGAAGCAUUAUUAUUUUAUCGGUAGAAUUCUUGGGAAAGCUUUAUACGAGAAUUUAUUAGUCGAACUUCCGUUUGCAGAAUUUUUUCUAUCAAAAAUCGUUGGUCGUCAAUCAGACGUUGAUGUUCAUCAUUUACCUUCUUUAGAUCCGGUUAUGUAUAGAAAUCUUUUGUACUUGAAAAGCUACAAAAGCGAUGUUGCGGAUCUUGGUUUGGAUUUCACCGUACUAUCAGAUGAACUAGGUGAAAGACGCAUUGAUGAAUUGAAACCAGGCGGUGCUAAUAUUCCCGUUACAAAUCACAAUCGUAUCGAAUAUAUUCACCUAAUGGCCGAUUAUAAAUUGAAUAAACAGAUUCGAGCUCAAUGUUAUGCAUUCAAGCAAGGUGUAGGUAGUGUAAUUCCUCUGGAUUGGCUUCAAAUGUUUAAUAAUAAGGAACUACAAGUUUUGAUAUCGGGUGCAAAGAUCCCUGUCGAUGUGAACGACUUAAAAUUGCAUACUAUCUACACAGGAGGAUAUACAACGGAUCAUCCGACAAUUACUUCGUUUUGGAAAAUUGUUAAUGAAUUUAACGACCAGCAGAAAGGACAAUUACUCAAGUUUGUUACGAGCUGCAGUCGACCGCCUUUACUUGGAUUUAAGGAACUUGAUCCACCCUUUUGCAUUCAGCAUGCUGGCAGUGUUGAUCGCUUGCCAACUUCCAGUACCUGUAUGAAUUUGUUAAAGCUACCAGAAUUUCCAGACGAAAAAACUCUACGUGAAAAACUUUUAUAUGCAAUACAAGCUGGUGCAGGUUUUGAAUUGAGUUAAGCUCAAUUAUUUUUCUUUCUUCUUUUUUCUUUUUUUUUUUAUUUUAAACGAAUUCUUUUGAGUAAAUCGACGAUACCUGACUGUAUAUAAAUUAUAAACGUAAUUAAAAACACAUACUUAAGAACAAAAUGCAAAUAUGAAACUUGCCAUAAUUCCACAACUAUGGAUAAGCAAUUCGAUUCGAUUUUAAUUACAAGGACAGAGGAACUUAAAAAAUUUUUGUCGACUUAGGCAAUAAACAUGUAGUAUUGUCAGAAUGGGCCAACUAAUUGCCGGUAAUGUCUGGAUGAAGGAGCCGAUUAUCAAUACAUUGAACAAAUGUGUAUUGUUUGUAAAAAAUACGUUAUUUUUCCCUCUUUUUCCC
rnacentral:misc_RNA from 1 species